CUGGAAAGAGUGGCCUUUUGUGGUCUUCAUGCCAUGAUUUUAUCACUCAAACUGAUAAAAUCAUAGUUUGGAAACCUCGACAGGCUUUUCUUUUCUU
ensembl:miRNA mir-1818 ncRNA